UACGUAGGUGGCGGGCGUUGUCCGGAAUUACUGGGUGUAAAGGGAGCGUAGGCGGGAGUGCAAGUUGAAUGUUAAAUCUAUCGGCUCAACCGAUAGCCGCGUUCAAAACUGCAUUUCUUGAGUGAAGUAGAGGUUGGCGGAAUUCCUAGUGUAGCGGUGAAAUGCGUAGAUAUUAGGAGGAACACCAGUGGCGAAGGCGGCCAACUGGGCUUUACUGACGCUGAGGCUCGAAAGCGUGGGGAGCAAACAGGAUUAGAUACCCUGGUAGUCCCUGA
rnacentral:rRNA from 1 species